rfam:Schistosoma mattheei strain Denwood, Zambia genome assembly, scaffold: SMTD_scaffold0020416
GCUGACGAGUCCCAAACAGGACGAAACGCGCGUCC